GGGGUUGUGGCUCAAUGGAAGAGCCCCUGCUUGGCAUACAGAAGUUCUCAGGUUCAAACCCCACCAAUCUCC
rnacentral:tRNA from 1 species